AAGUCGUAACAAGGUAUCCGUAGGUGAACCUGCGGAUGGAUCAUUAAAGUAAAGACUGAGAUGGCUUCGGCUAUCAAAGUCCGGCUCAGCCGACACUUUGUGCACUGUUUUACGUCUCUGGCGGAAUGUUUUCCUGCCCAGUGGCUUAAUUGCUGCUGGUAGGUCAGCACCCGCCGAUGGGCUUUUGCCUGUCGCUAUUUUAACUCCAAUGUGUGAACCUAUCCAGUCUGAAAACUUUCACUAUAACUAAUGUGAAAACAACUUUUGACAACGGAUCUCUUGGCUCUC
rnacentral:misc_RNA from 1 species